AGGCCAUUUUGAGGGCAGUUUCUUAAUAACCCUUUAUAUCUCUCCCAUGCCUCAUAAAGUGAUUCACCUGGUUGUUGCUCAAAGUUGGCUAUUGACUUCUUGAGUUU